CGUUGUUUGCGCAGGGCGCACACUCUACGUGACAAGCACGCGCCAGCCAGUAACGCGCGGCUCUCUUCAAUGGCCUCUUCAAGGGAGCGGCUAGAUUGGUAACAACGACCGGCCUUUCCUCGUCGUUUCUCGAGUGAUCUUGCAGACCUGCUUCAGCGGCUAGAUUGCAAAGGGUAUGAAAAGAAAGUGCCACCAGCUCCGACGUCAUUGCCGGUCUUCUUAGUGCACUCGUUCCGAUCCGAAUACUGCAACCGCAGUUCGGAUCAGCAUGGCGGUUCGGGAACUGAAGUUUCCGUAGCAGUCACUGACUUUGGGACCCUCUGCAUAUUACCCGCCACAUAAUCAUUGUUCAUUGAAUGGAUA